GCUUUUCUGUCUGUCAAUUUCAACCAGAAUUCUCUCCUCCCCACCUAACCAAGCCUGUGAAAGAUAAAAUACUUUCUUUCGAAAGUUGAAUGUUGUAUCUUUAUCUUUAAAAAGGAAACCCUAACAACUGAAAAACUGGUUCAGUAUCAAAUUCUUAUCCAUUUUCCCUCUUUCAUUCUUUUUAAGUAGUUGUGAUGUCACAAAUGCAACUCCAGUGUUCCACCAAAUGAUGUAGACUAAGAACUGAAACUGCUCUGCAAUUGCCCAAAUUAUAGUGAAUAUCAGAUAAAAGGUUUGCUAUCUCCUGCUGUCUAUUUUCAGGAGCCAUAAAUAACCCAGCACAAGCAGAGCUACCCCCUGCAAGCAACACGAUGCCUUCUGGAAGUCUGAAUAGGGGAAGAACAGUCUUGCCAUCUCAGUAAUGUUCUGAUUCAGCCAAUUUAUGGUGGGAACUGAGAUCCUUCAUUUCUAAGAAGCAACCAGGAGAUGCCAACUCUACAGGUCCAGGGCUCAGGUUUUGAGUGAUACUCAUCAAGAGCUCCUGGAGGAACUGAGUCAUGCUUUCACAGGAAUCUCUUAAGAAAGGAGGAGAAUGAAUUCCAGGAGAUAAAAACAGGUUUUUUUUUAUCGUUUCUUCUGAACACCCUUAGUUACAAGAAUACUGAAAGAUGAAGCAACUUGCUCAAGGAAGUAUAGAGGGGCAUAAGGAUGCGAACAAAAUUUAAUUUGAUCUUAGGCUGCAUUUAAAGAAGCACAAGUAAGAGGUUAAACUGGCAGCUUCAACUGCGGCAAUCCCAUAGGAAAGAUGUUAGAUUCCUAAGUGAGCUGUUGGACCACUGAGUGGGAGUUUCUAACUUAGUGACAUAGGACAGGUUGGAAGGCUCUAAACUCCUUAAGAGAGAUGUAAAAAGAUAUAGGAGUAGUAACUAAGAGUAGAUUUGUGAAGGGAUAUUUUGGAGAGAGCUGCUUCAGCACUAUGAGUCUCCCAGUCCCAGACUCACAGCAGGGGUGGGACACUUACUUCUCCCUUAGCCUCAAGGCAAGAGAGCAAGACUUCAGUGGGACCUGCAGAGAGCUUCAUGUGCAUCCCAUGGAGUUGGGACCACACUGUGUUGUGCCAGAGAGCCUGGGGAUCUUUAAGUGAGAGGUCUGAGAGCAGUCAGGAGAGAAAUGCAGCUGCACUGGGAUUUGCCUGUACUCCUUGAGUUUGGUAAAGGUAAAGAAUAAGUGAGUGUUUCCUGGGGACCAAAUGUGCACCAUUUAAAAUCUGAGUUUACCCGAGGGCUUCACUCAGAAGAUAAGAGCCUUCCAUCAAGUGUCUGUAUGAAAUGAGGUCAGCGUCUGAAGAAGCAGCUGAAAAAAGUGGUUGUAUCACUUUCUGAUGGACCAGCAAAGAGAUCUCUGAAGAAUCCACCAACUUGCCCAGGAUGGAAAAAUAAAGCUCCACCAUCUUCCAGACCUAGAGAGCAUCCAGCCAUUUUAUAGGCAUAACGGUCAAAUGAGAAAUAUACUGUCAUCUUACCUCUUUAUCUCCUCCCACCAUCCCUCCCCCCAUCAGUAGACCCUAAAGAGAUCAGACGCAGUGGCUGGUGGGUUGGUAGAGAUGGGGGUGAGCUGGAGGCAAACAACCAACCACAUCACUCUCCAGAAGGCAGGCUUUGAAUGAAGAUCUAAAGCUUGAUAUUUUAAUUACCAAAUUAAGAUGGUAUUUGGUGAAUUACAGUCGCCAGAGAACUCUAUAUUACCUAAGGGUGAGUAGAAAACUCAGGAGCCUGACAGAUUUUUCAUCCAGAGGGGACGAAAGAACUUUCACUACUGAAAUAUUUUAAAGGGACAUUGGGAGAUUAAAAAAAUAAAACCUCGCAUUUUGAUUAUCCCACAAGGUUUGCUUGGUCAAAAUAUCAGGGACAAUAAAUUUUCAGAGUGAAGGUCAUGAUCAUGUUCUUCUUAGCAGCAUUCAGACCAGGAUUAUGUUCUAUUCUGUAUCAUGUUCCUCAAGAGAGAUAUUGGUAGAGCAACCGAGAUGGAGAAGAGAUGCAAAAGUCAAAUCACAGAAAGGAAAACUCAAGGAACUCCAGCUGUUCAGGCAGGGGAAAAUUUAGGCAAGACACAAUAGCUCAUUUAACCUUUAUUAAUAGGCUUGCAUAUGGGGUACAGACCAGAAAAAUUCUGUGUUCUUCAGGGCUGCAUAAGAACCAGUGGACAAAUUUUAGUGCAAAAUGAGGAGACGUAUAUAAUGCAAGUAUUUGAAAACAUAUGUUUUGGAUUGUCUUGUAUUGCAAUGUAUUUCUCAUUACUGGUUGUUCAAGUGGAGGCUGGAUGACACUUGUCAUGGUUCUUACAUUGAGGAUCCAUUUAUCAUUUGAUUUUAGGUCAAAUUGCCAAGGAUCAAUUUGUUUUAAACCAGUUUGCCAAAGGACCAAUCCACCAAAUGGCCAUUUCACUGAAAACCAAGUCACCCAACACCAAUUUGCCACAUCUACUUGUUGCCUUUAACAAUUUCAUUUCAGUUGACUCGAUCCCAUUUGGCCAUAUUGGAGAGCACGUUCAGGAAUAUCUAAUUGAUUGCUGCCCUAGUUCUCUGAGGGCUGAAAGAGGGGCAACUGAGGAGCAGAGAGAUAAUGCAUUUUUGAAAAUGUUCUUAAAUAUAAUCGUGACCAUAAUGAUUUAUUACAAUUGCAUUCUUCUUUAAAGAUACUACUGUUCCUCUCCCAGACUCUCAUUCUCUCUUCCUCUCUUUCCCUCUUUCUGCUCCCUAGUCUCCAGCUGCAACACCUUGGCACUGGGAUGGAAACAAAUGGAGCAUUUAUUGAGUGUAAGAGUUAAAAACAACACCCCUCUUUUUCCUCCAUUUUGGAACCAAUUGAGAGAGAGGUGGAGGUGCCAGUCAAGUGGAAAUCAAAAUAUUCCCUUUAUUCUUGGUAAGCUCUAUUGGAGGAUAUGGCCCAAAUCUGGCCAAACGGCCCCAAACUGUAACCACAGGCUUUCCCUCCAGAAGCAAGAUUUCUACAGCACUGUUCCCACAUCCACAAAACAACAGACAUGCCAAUCCCCAGCCUCUAGAGCAUUAACACAGGCAAAAGCAUGGUUCUAGAACCCAGAACCCAAGAAAUUCAGUGAUACCUGAGAGAAAGGGAAUAAACGGGGGAAAAUGUUUUGUUUUAUCCUCAUAGAAUAUCAUCAGCUCAGGCUAGUGGUUUGGAGCUCAAGACUUGUGAUUUUAAAGGGGAACCUCUCAUUAAGCUAAGUGGUUAAUUCUGACCUUACAUGCAAUCUUGCAGUGGCUGCCCAUUUCCCUCAGCAUAGAAGCCAAAGUCUUGUGGGAAAGCCAGCAGAGCUCCCUCGUGUGAACACUUCUCUGACUUUAUCUCCUCCAGCUCUCCCCCUAACUUGGAGACUCUGCUUCAGCCACACUGACUUCCUUUCUGCCCUCAAACAUACCUUGCCUUCACCCAUCUGAAGCCUUUACCCCAGAUACAGUUACAGUACUCUCAGUUAGUCAGUACACCCAUGACUCUUUGUGUAUGUGUGUGCACGUGUAUGUAAUACAUGUAUACACACCAUACAUAGGCAUACA
ensembl:lncRNA